rnacentral:lncRNA from 1 species
AUAAUAACAGAGUGUAUAGAGAUCAAUGUCACAAAACAUCAGAGUAUUUAUUACAUAGCGGAAGUCUUAUUACAAAAUAAAAGAAUAAAUAUAGAACGAACUAAGAAUCGUCGGCGCCAAUGUCAACUGAGAAAACGCCACCUAGAUCAGAUCAUACUCCUCGCUUUGUGGCUCCUCCUGAACCACCUGCUCUUCUCCUGUGGGGGGUGUGAGACAGCAAGAGUGAGCUCACAUACGUUCAUAGCUCAACAAGUCGUGGUGAAUAAUGUGGCAUGAACUCACCAAAGGUAGGAGUUCAUGAAGUGUAAGGCUGAUCAAUGAAAUAAAGGCUGAAGCUGAGCAUUGCUUUUAUAAGUUGGUCAAAAUUUUAUUAGCAAUUACUAAGUGUAAGUAAAUACCAAACCUUAGAAAUAAUAAGUAAAGGUAAUAAUAAAAUAAUCACAAAUGCAAUGAUAUGACAAAUUAAGUUUAAGUUCCAUAAAUUAAUCAUGUGAGUGUCCGAGCCGCUCAUGACCGUGAGCACGACUAGUAUACUAGUUUUACACUCUACAUAGGUUGCGCAUCUUUACCCACAAGUCGUGUUACCCAUUUGCCACGGAGUUGAUCAGACCCCAUACACCUCUACCUAGGAAGCGAGGCAGGGUACCACUACGAGGCCUUUACAAAGUUCCACUAGCUUCAGAAAACCCGCUACAGUUUAUAGGAAGCUCCAGUGCAGGAAUCCCUCGCCUGAUCGCCAUUGCUGAAAAAUCAACCCAAGGACCUCCCUACACUGACCACUCCCCUACUGCCCUUGCCCCUUUCGGGUAAGGUAGUCAUCCACUAGCUUUCCUAGUUAAUCAGCCAAGUGCGUCCCAUUAAACCCUUGUGGUAGCACUGUUUUCCCGGGUGGUUCUCCAUGUUCCCAUUAACAUAAUGUUCUUAUCAUGAACAGAAAAUAAUGAACAGAUAAUAACAAGUAUAAAAAUGAGUGAUGAAUGUCUCUAUACCCAAAGCCACAUAAAGCAAUAGCAUGUACUACCCAAAAGUUUAGUAGUAAAACCAGUGGUGAAACAAGGUAUAAAGAUAGUCAAAAUCUAGGGUAACCUAUUGGGUCCCAUCAAAAUUAACCUAUGCAGAUCAUUAUGAUUAAUAAGAACAUGAAUGGGUAAAAGAAGUGAUCAAGGGCACAACUUGCCUUCAACGAGCUCCUGCUCAGCAGUCUCAACCAGCUGAACCCCUGGAUCCACUAUAGCUGGCUCGUCUACUCGCAUCAAUAUAAACAAACAUGGUAUGGCAAAAAUUAACAUCACACCAAACAGCAUAACAGAAUGCAUGAUAGUAUUUGUCGGUGUUUCGAGACUAGGGGGUCCCUGGGCCGACGAGUGAAUGUCGUCGCGUGCCCCAGCCCAGAUGGGUCGACGCGAGGCCGAGCAUGAAGGGGGGAAGUGAGGUGGCCGGAGACAGGCGUGAGAGAGGUGGAAAUCCCGCGGCCUUCGUGUUCGUCCCGCGCCUAGGUCGGGUGCGCUUGCAGUAGGGGAUUACAAGCGUCCACGCGGAGAGGGAGCGAGCGGCUUCAAGCGAGCGCCUGUCUCGUCCUCGUCCCCGCGCGGCCAACCCUCUCUAAGAGGGCCCUGGUCCUUCCUUUUAUAGGCGUAAGGAGAGGAUCCAGGUGUACAAUGGGGGUGUAGUAGAGUGCUACGUGUCCAGCGGAGGAGAGCUAGCGCUCUAAGUACACGCCAUCGUGGCGGCCGAAGAGGUUUUGGCGCCCAGUUCGUGUGAUGUCGUGGCCGUCGGAGCCUGGCAGAGGGACAGCUGUCGGGGCUGUCGAGUCCUUGCUGACGUCCUUUUGCUUCCGUAAGGGGGAGGAGAGCUGCCGUCGUCAGGGAGCGUGCGGGGCGCCAUCAUUGCCUAUCUGGCGGAGCGAGCCAGAUGGGACGUCGGUCUUGUUCCCUGUAGCCUGAGUCAGCUUGGGGCAGAGUAAUGAUGGCGCCUCCCGUUGACGUGGCCGGCCCGCGCCCUAGGUUGGGCGAUGUGGAGGCUCCCCCGAGGUCGAGGUCGAGGUCGAGUCUGUCUUCCAUGGCCGGGGUCGAGUCCGAGCCCCCGGGUCGGGCGAGGCGGAGACCGUCGGCUGAGGCGAGAGCUGAGCCCAAGCCCUGGGUCGGGCGGAGCAGAGUUCGUCGUCUUCCGGGGCUUAGCCCGAGUCCGAGCCCUGGGUCGGGCGGAGCGGAGUUCGCCGUCUUCUGGGGCUUAGCCCGAGUCCGAGCCCUGGGUCGGGCGGAGCGGAGUUCGCCAUCUUCUGGGGCUGAGCCCAAGUCCGAGCCCUGGCUCGGGCGGAGCAGAGUUCGCCGUCUUCCGGGGCAUAGCCCGAGUCCGAGCCCUGGGUCGGGCGGAGCGGAGUUCGCCGUCUUCCGGGGCUUAGCCCGAGUCCGAGCCCUGGGUCGGGCGAAGCGAAGCUUCCUAUGGUGCCUGCGGCCGGGCCUAACUGCCUGUCAGCCUCACUCUGUCAAGUGGCACCGCAGUCGGAGCGGUGCAGGCGGCGCUGUCCUUCUGUGAGGUCGGUAAGUGGAGCGGCGAAGUGACUGCGGUCACUUCGGCUCUGUCGACUGAAGGGCGCGCGUCAGGAUAAAGGUGUCAAGACACCUUUGCAUUAAAUGCUCCUGCGAUUUGGUCGGUCGGCGCGGCGAUUCGGUCAGGGUUGCUUCUUGGCGAAGACAGGGCCUCGGGCGAGUCGGAAAUGUAUUCGUUGCUGGAGGGGGGGCCUCGGGCGAGACGGAGAUCCUCCGGGGUCGGCUGCCCUUGCCCGAGGCUAGGCUCGGGCAAGGCGUGAUCGAGUCCCUCGAAUGGACCGAUCCCUGACUUAAUCGCACCCAUCAGGCCUUUGCAGCUUUGUGCUGAUGGGGGUUACCAGCUGAGAAUUAGGAGCCUUGAGGGUACCCCUAAUUAUGGUCCCCGACAGUAGCCCCCGAGCCUCGAAGGGAGUGUUAACACUCGCUUGGAGGCUUUUGCCGCACUUUUUUGCAAGGGGACCAGCCUUUCUCGGUUGCGUUUUGUUCCGGUGGGUGCGCGCGAGCGCACCCGCCGGGUGUAGCCCCCGAGGACUCGGAGGAGUGGUUUGACUCCUCCGAGGUCUUAAUGCCUCACGCAAUGCUUUGGCUGGUCUGGUCGUUCCCUCAUGCGAGCUGGCCAUAGCCCGGGUGCACGGUCGGGUUCUAAGUUCUCGGGCUGGUACGUUGACGCUGUCAACGGUUUGGCCGGAGCCGGGUUUGCGAGAGCAGCCCCCGAGCCUCUGCACAGGGCGAGAGGACGAUCAGGGACAGACUCGACUUUUUUACAUACGCCCCUGCGUCGCCUUUCCGUAAGGAGGAGGGGGGAAAGCGCCAUGUUGCCCUCGGUGGGCGCCGAACAUGGUGUCUCCGGUGAGCUGCUGGCGGGUAAUCCGAGCGGACGUCCGUGCCCCAUUUGCUAGGGGUCGGCUAGAGGCCCAGAGGCGCGCCCAAAAGUACCUGCGGGUGAUCUGCCGGACCCGGUCCCCUGUCGACGGGGUCCGAGAGCUCGAUGCCUCCCUCUGAUGGGAUUCCGUUACAAGAUCGUUCCCGCGGGUCUCGGAAAUGUCCUAGGGUACCUCGGGAGCGCAGCCCGAGCCUUGGUUAUGUAUCGAACGUACCCAUGGUCAUCCCUCGCUCUGUGUCUGAGGCGACUAUGAACCCUUCGAGGGCCAGCCUACGAACCCCUGAUCAGUAGUGGGCGUGGAGCCCGAGUGGCCUGAGGCAGCCAUUGAACCCUUCCGAGGGGCCGGCCUUCAAACCUCUGACCAGUAGUGGGUGUGGAGCCCACGUGCUCUGAGGCGGCUGUUGAACCCCUCCGAGGGGCCAGCCUUUGAACCUCUGAUCAGUAGGGAGGCUCGGAGCCUGGUUCCUUCACGGAGAAGGGUCCUUUUCGGGGCAUCCCCCUUUCCCGGUCCCUGUUGUAAGAGAGAGAAAGAGGAAAAAAGGAAAAGGAUUCGAAAUCGAACGACGCGGCGUACCUUUUUUGGCGCGGUCAUUAUGGCGAAGGCGAAACGUCGCUCGCUUCCCUCGCCAAAGGCGCCGCCUGUCCCGCCGUGGAGUUAAUGCGACGGGGCGAGUGGUUCGCGGGGCGGCCGUUGUGCGUGCGCAGGCCGUUCGAGGAACGGAACACGGGCGCGUCGUCUUCACACCGUGAGAGAGGAUUCUCUCGCUGCCCCCGGAUGGGACGUAAGCUUGGCCGACGACGUGACCGCUGCUCCUGCCCGCCUGCCACCGCCAUUACUGCCGGCCCAUUUUUGGCCGCAUUGACCGUCGCGCGGGCUGGCGCUGCUGGGUCGUGCGCUGGGUCGCCUCGAGUCGCGGUAUUGGUUCCACAGUCGAGGAGGCGCGGUAGUGGCGCGGGCGGCGGGGCAGUUGCUCGCACGCAGCAUCCGGCGCGCCGGUUGCAUGACGCGUGGGCCUGGGCCUCCAUGCUGAGCGUGUUGGAAGUCGGAGAAGUGCGCCCACUUGGCGCGGUUGCAUGCCGCCUGCAUGGCUGCCCGCCGUUUCGCCCGCUGGUCUGGGCAAAAGUGGAGGGCCAUUUGUAACCGCUGGGCGGUUGCAUGCACCGCGCGCGGCGGUUUGGCUUCUUCUGCUCUGGGCCGGCUUGCAUGACGUGUGGGACCCAGCACCCGCACCGUAGGGGGAGGACCUUGGAGCGUGUUGGAGAAGACUCAGCCCACAACGGCUGGGGACGCAAGUAGGGAGAGUCGCCUUUAAAAGGAGGGUGACCCCCUUGAAAGGCGAUCAUGUCUUCGCGCUCCCUUAUGCAUCGUGUCUUUCCACCUUCCGAGCCCCCGGAUGGGGGAUGCCUGCAGUCCUUCCGCCUUGUCGUUGGGGGGACGCAACUCCGUGGGAGUUGGUACCUUUCAGCCAUCGUUCGGCUUCAAGGAUUUUCAUCACGCAGCCCGGCUGCACCCCUCCGCCGGCGGUCACCCAAGAUGGUGACCUCCAGUUCGACGGCGGGGGAAAGCAAGCCGGGCUGCGGCCUCUGCCCCUCCCUCAGCCUCAAGGAUUUUCAUCACCAGGGCUGGGGAGGGGAGUGUGCCGAGUUGGGGUCGGCCCCUGCAUGGGCGGUGGCCGCUCCUUCCCUCAGUGAUCGGGGGGAAGGGCGGUUGCUGUCCGUGGCGCUAGCAGCUGCCGCGUGCCUGGCUCUCGGACCCGAGUGGCUUCGGAGCCGCUCUCGGCGCCGGCUUCCGCCACGGUAGCUGGAAGAGGUUCUUCCGCCGAUGAGAUAGCCGGGGCCGCCUACGGACCGACCUCCAACUGAUGCGGACAUCAACACCAACACGAGCACAUCUACACCAGCAGCACCUUCUCUAGCCCAGGCGCCACCCCUUCCACCUGGGCCAGUGACUCGGGCCCGUGCAAGAGAAUUGAACUACAUCAUGUUGUUAAAGAACGAAGGCCCAGAAGAAUAGACGACCAGCCCAAUUGCGGCCCAUAAUGGACGACCUAGGGUUGGCCGCCCCUAGGGGCUGCGCCCCCUCUCUAUUUAUUCAGGAGCUGCGCCUCCUUUAUUUUCCGAGUUUUGUUUUACGUUAGCCUUAGCUACUCUCGAACACGCGCAAAUCUGCGCUGUCUUCGUGUAUUCAGAACUCCACCCUCGAGUAAUAGAUUAGAUUGCUCGCCUCUUUUUCUUGUUCGUUCUUCGAUUGCGCACAGGAAACGAUCUUCGUGAUCAGGCCGAUCUCGCAUCAGCAAGGUCGGUAACCACAGGGAGUUGGUUCAGCGAUUGCAUUGGCGCCUCGGGCUUGCUCGUCGUAGUCGGAUCGCAAGGGUCAUCUUCCGCCAAAUCGGAAUUAUCUCUACUCGUCGAAAGAUCGGGCACCUCAGCUACAUCAAUUGGUAUCAGAUUUCCAGGUUGAUCGGUGAGUUUAUCGAGUGUUUUUUCCCUACAGUCCACAAAACCACAUAAAAAUUCAGGUUAGAUCUUAUCCCAGCACCCUUUUGAGCCUCGCACUUUCUUUCAAUAAUCUGCAUUGUUGAAUUUGUGUGCUUUCGCGUCAUUUGUUGCUGGUUGCAUUGUGUUCUUCCACCAUUUAAACCCUAGCGCCGCCACCAUCUCCCGUUUGAUCACGCCACAAACCGAGUCAACAUUGUUUCCUUGUUUUUCUCCUUCGGUUACGUCAAAAAAAAACAGAAAAAACAAACCGAGUCAACGGCCGUUUCCUUGAUUUUCUCCUUCGGUUACGAAAAAAAAACAGAAAAAAAGAAACAAACCGAGUCAACGACCGCUUACUUGUUUUUCUCCGUCGGUUACAUCAAAAAAAAAACAGAAACAAAAAAAAAGGAAAACGAAGGAGAAAGGAUACGGUUGUUUCAUCCCGGUCGUUUUUAAAACAUAACUUGAGGUACCUUCCGUAAACCGGGCAUAACUUUUCGCUCGGGUGUCCAAAAAAUCUGAAAUUUUUACAGGAGCUAGUUGACAACAUUCUGAGCCCGGCCAAACUGACCUUUGGUCUGUUUGGUUUCGACAAAAUUGUCAAAAAAUUCAGGAAAAUAAAGAAAAAAAUUCGUCAAAGUUCUCGCACGCUUUUCAGAGAACUUCCUGAUUUUCUAUAGACCACAUCUGAUCUCUGUUUUAGGUGAAAUUUCGUGUAGCUCCUAUAUUGUUGCUUCUUGUGCUGAGAAAAAUAUCAAAAAAAUCAUACAAAAAAGAAAAACAAAAUCACCUGUGAUUUCUACUAGUGCCUUUUUGGCAUCACUAGUACAAUAUUUACAUUACUGCCAUUCUGCUAGUUCCAUCCAUCCUUUGCACCUGUGGCCGGCAAUAUAGUUUCGUGUUUUGCACUAUAAUUCAACUUUGCAUUAUUGUUUGAUCGUGCUAAUCCUUGACUUGAGUGCAGCCUACCCACAACUCCACAUAUUUUGCAUGCCGCCUGCAUGGCUGCCCGCCGUUUCGCCCGCUGGUCUGGGCAAAAGUGGAGGGCCAUUUGUAACCGCUGGGCGGUUGCAUGCACCGCGCGCGGCGGUUUGGCUUCUUCUGCUCUGGGCCGGCUUGCAUGACGUGUGGGACCCAGCACCCGCACCGUAGGGGGAGGACCUUGGAGCGUGUUGGAGAAGACUCAGCCCACAACGGCUGGGGACGCAAGUAGGGAGAGUCGCCUUUAAAAGGAGGGUGACCCCCUUGAAAGGCGAUCAUGUCUUCGCGCUCCCUUAUGCAUCGUGUCUUUCCACCUUCCGAGCCCCCGGAUGGGGGAUGCCUGCAGUCCUUCCGCCUUGUCGUUGGGGGGACGCAACUCUGUGGGAGUUGGUACCUUUCAGCCAUCGUUCGGCUUCAAGGAUUUUCAUCACGCAGCCCGGCUGCACCCCUCCGCCGGCGGUCACCCAAGAUGGUGACCUCCAGUUCGACGGCGGGGGAAAGCAAGCCGGGCUGCGGCCUCUGCCCCUCCCUCAGCCUCAAGGAUUUUCAUCACCAGGGCUGGGGAGGGGAGUGUGCCGAGUUGGGGUCGGCCCCUGCAUGGGCGGUGGCCGCUCCUUCCCUCAGUGAUCGGGGGGAAGGGCGGUUGCUGUCCGUGGCGCUAGCAGCUGCCGCGUGCCUGGCUCUCGGACCCGAGUGGCUUCGGAGCCGCUCUCGGCGCCGGCUUCCGCCACGGUAGCUGGAAGAGGUUCUUCCGCCGAUGAGAUAGCCGGGGCCGCCUACGGACCGACCUCCAACUCUACGGCCUUCUGCCCGUCCUUGCCUCAUGAGUUUGGGCAUGGGCGGGGGCCUCCUGGCAGCGGCAUCCGCCCUGAGGUCAUCGCUGCCGCUGUUUGGCCCCCCGGAGCAGAAGUCGUCGUCGUCGCCGCUGCUGGAGCGGGUGACGGCGCGCCGUUCGUCGGUCUUCUGUUGCUCCGCAGCCCCCCCCAUCGAGUGGGGUUGUUCGUACCUGCGGAGGUGGAACCGGAGUUCCGUUUGUAAUGGCACUGUGAAUGCCAGUGUUUUUGUUCAUUGUGGUUGUCGAGGCCUGAACACGUAUGUAAUUUUGGGCACGGAGCCGUGUUUUUCCUCAUUUUCGAGCACUAAGACUCGCCUGUUGGUUGUCUGAACCGCUUCACCAAGCGUGAGUUGCCCCGUGUAAAGGUGACGAGUGAGGUAUCCGUAUCCCGGAGGCGUAGGAGUCCCUCGGCUCGAUCAGCCUUGUCGUCCGAGGCCUCUCUUGCUUAGUUAAAGGAACCCCUCGGCCGCUCUUCGUUGAGCCGAGGCCAGGGGUAGCGGUGUCAGCACGGACAGAGGCAGAGUUGGCUCGAAAAGAAGACCUGGUCGGCCGGAGCCUGGUCGGGUCGUCCGUUAGCGGGACCGACGCCGGAGUUGAUCUUCCGAGGCCUCGGGCCGGGCUGAUGUCUUCGGGGGACAGCUGGCCGAGGCCUCGGGGUGAUCAGCCGAGCCGCCUGCUCGGGCCGGAUUCUCGGAGAAGACCCUGGCGGCGAUGGCCCGGGUGUGGUGAUGACGUCGUCCUUCAAAGUGGAGAUCCUCGGACCGCGUCGCCGUCCGAGGCCAGGUCGGACCUCGCCGAAGGUGUAGUUGACGCCGAGGGUGCCGCUACUCCCUUUAACCGUCAAGAUCCGAGCCUGCAGGAUCAGAUUAUCUUGUAGUGUGUGUUUUCUGCGGCCGCCGAGGCCCAAACACACCCUCGCCAUGUUGUAAAGCUGCGUCUCUUUUCCUCUUGUUUCAAGUAUCUGGACUUUUUCGUCGGUAACAGAAUUGUCUGUGUGAGCGAGAGUUGCUUCUCGCGGAAGGUGAUGAGUGAGGUAUCCGUAUCCCGAAGGCGUAGGAGUCCCUCGGCUCGGUCGGCCUUGCCGCUUACGCGCGCUCUUGCCCGUCCAUGGGGUUCUGUCACCGACGCAGUCGAGAAGGCCCGAAGAACCGCUUUGGCAGAGGAGCUUUCGAACGUGAAGACUUGUUCGGUCCGCGGAAUCACUUAUUCGAACGUGAGUUACUUAUCACAGAAGGUGAUGAGUGAGGUAUCCGUAUCCCGGAGGCGUAGGAGUCCCUCGGCUCGGUCAGCCUUGGCUGCUUACGUGUACUCCGUCGUUUUCAGGAUCCACUUUCGAAGUAGUCGAAAAGCACGAAAGACAUUCUGGCAGAAAGGACCUUUUUUCGCGGAAAAAAUUCGACGCAGAGGGGGUUCCCCCCCUUUUAGCCCCCGAGGGAGGGUCGGGCUUUGCCGAGGCAAGGCUGACCCUUCCUUGAUGACUAAACUUUGCGUGGGAGCGAGGUAUAUGAACAACUUGAAAACAUCUUAAGGGUAGAAGCGACGUAGCUGUUGGAUGUUCCAAGCGUUGCUGUAGACCUCGCCUUGACUGUUGGCCAGCUUGUACGUUCCGGGCUUCAGAACUUUGGCGAUGAUGAACGGCCCCUCCCAGGGGGGCGUGAGCUUGUGCCGCCCUCGGGCGUCUUGUCGCAGCCGAAGCACCAGGUCGCCCACCUAGAGGUCUCGGGACCGGACCCCUCGGGCGUGGUAGCGUCGCAGGGACUGCUGGUACCGUGCCGAGUGCAGCAAGGCCUUGUCUCGAGCCUCUUCCAGCUGGUCCAGCGAGUCUUCUCGAUUAACUUGGUUGCUUUGGUCAGCAUAGGCCCUCGUCCUCGGGGAACCGUAUUCUAAGUCUGUGGGCAAGAUGGCCUCGGUCCCAUAGACUAGAAAGAACGGCGUGAAACCCGUGGCUCGGCUCGGCGUUGUCCUCAGGCUCCAGACCACCGUGGGGAGUUCCUUCAUCCAUCGCUUGCCGAACUUGUUGAGGUUGUUGUAGAUCCGAGGCUUGAGUCCUUGUAGAAUCAUGCCGUUAGCACGCUCUACUAGCCCAUUCGUCAUGGGGUGAGCCACGGCGGCCCAGUCCACCCGGAUGUGGUGAUCCUCGCAGAAGUCCAGGAACUUUCUGCCGGUGAACUGGGUGCCGUUGUCGGUGAUGAUGGAGUUUGGGACCCCGAAACGAUGCAUGAUGUUGGUGAAGAACGCCACCGCCUGCUCGGACCUGAUGCUGUUUAGGGGUCGGACCUCGAUCCACUUGGAGAAUUUGUCGAUGGCGACCAACAGGUGUGUGUAGCCCCCGGGUGCCUUCUGCAAGGGGCCGACGAGGUCCAGACCCCCCACGGCAAAAGGCCAAGUGAUGGGUAUCGUCUGUAGAGCCUGGGCAGGCAGGUGGGUCUGCCUUGCGUAGAAUUGACACCCUUCGUAGGUGCGGACAAUUCUAGUGGCGUCGGCCACCGCCGUCGGCCAGUAGAAUCCUUGCCGGAAAGCGUUUCCGACAAGGGCUCGAGGCGCUGCGUGAUGGCCGCAAGCCCCCGAUUGUAUCUCUCGUAGGAGUUCCUGACCUUCAGCGAUGGAGAUGCAUCGCUGGAGGAUGCCUGAGGGGCUGCGGUGGUAGAGCUCCUUCCCAUCUCCCAGCAAGACGAACGACUUGGCGCGCCGCGCCAACCGCCGAGCUUCGGCUCGGUCGGGGGGUAGCUCUCCUUGGUGGAGAUAUUGCAGGUACGGGGUCUGCCAGUUUUGAUCAGGCGUGACCCCGCUUCGCUCCCCCCGACGUGCAGUGUCUCGCCCUCGGGGGCCAAGGGUACCUCGGGCUGAACCGAGGGUGCCUCGGGCCGAGCCGAGGGUGCCUCGGACUGAGCCGAGGGUGCCUCGGGCUCGGGCGUGUCAUCGAUCUUGACGAAGGGUUGAUGCAGAUCUCGGGAGAAGACGUCCGGGGGAACCGUUGUUCGCCCCGAGGCUAUUUUAGCCAGCUCAUCCAUAGUCUCGUUGUAGCGCCGGGCGAUGUGGUUGAGCUCGAGCCCGUAGAACUUGUCCUCCAGGCGCCGAACCUCAUCGCAGUAGGCCUCCAUCUUCGAGUCACGGCAGUGGGAGUUCUUCAUGACUUGGUCGAUGACGAGCUGUGAGUCACCGCGAGUGUCGAGGCAUCGGACCCCUAGCUCGAUGGCGAUCCGUAACCCGUUGACCAGAGCCUCGUACUCAGCCACAUUGUUGGACGCCGGGAAAUGGAGGCGUAGCACGUAGCGUAGGUGCUUCCCGAGGGGCGAGAUGAAGAGUAGGCCUGCGCCGGCUCCUGUCUUCAUCAACGACCCGUCGAAGAACAUGGUCCAGAGCUCCGGUUGGAUCGGAGCUGUUGGGAGCUGGGUGUCGACCCAUUUAGCCACGAAGUCUGCCAAGACCUGGGACUUGAUGGCCUUCCGAGGGGCGAACGAGAUUGCUUCACCCAUAAUUUCCACCACCCACUUUGCAAUCCUGCCCGAGGCCUCUCGGCACUGGAUGAUCUCCCCCAGGGGGAAGGAUGACACCACAGUUACCGAAUGAGACUCGAAGUAGUGCUGCAGCUUCCGCCGUGUCAGGAUCACCGCGUACAGCAGCUUCUGAACUUGUGGGUAGCGGAUCUUGGUUUCCGACAGUACCUCGCUGAUGAAGUAGACUGGCCUCUGAACGGGCAAUGCAUGCCCCUCUUCUUGCCUCUCGACCACAAUCGCGGCGCUAACCAUCUGAGUGGUUGCGGCGACGUAGAUCAGGAGGGCUUCUCCGGCAGCUGGGGGCACCAAGAUAGGCGCAUUCGUGAGGAGCGCCUUCAGGUUCCUGAGGGCUUCCUCGGCCUCAGGGGUCCAAGUGAAGCACUCGGCCUUCCUUAAGAGGCGGUACAAAGGCAGACCUCUUUCGCCGAGGCGUGAGAUGAAGCGGCUUAGAGCCGCGAGACAUCCCAUGCCCCUCUGUACGCCCUUCAAGUCCUUGAUGGGCCCCAUGCUGGUGAUGGCUGCGAUCUUCUCCGGGUUGGCUUUGAUGCCCCGCUCGGAGACGAUGAACCCCAAGAGCAUGCCUCGGGGUACCCCGAAGACACACUUUUCGGGAUUGAGCUUCAUGCCUUUCGCCUUGAGACAUUGGAAUGUCACUUCAAGGUCGGAAAGGAGGUCGGAGGCUUUCCUCGUCUUGACUACGAUGUCAUCGACGUAGGCCUCGACCGCCCGGCCAAUGUGUUCGCCGAACACAUGGUUCAUGCACCGCUGGUACGUCGUGCCCGCAUUCCUCAAGCCGAACGACAUGGUGACAUAGCAGUACAUGCCGAAGGGUGUGAUGAAAGAAGUCGCGAGCUGGUCGGACUCUUUCAUCCUGAUUUGGUGAUACCCGGAGUAGGCAUCGAGGAAAGACAGGGUUUCGCACCUAGAAGUGGAAUCCACGAUUUGAUCGAUGCGAGGCAGAGGGUAGGGAACCUUCGGACAUGCUUUGUUUAGACCAGUGUAGUCUACACACAUCCGCCAUUUCCCUCCUUUCUUUCUCACAAGCACGAGGUUGGCAAGCCAUUCGGGAUGGAAUACCUCUUUGAUGAACCCUGCCGCCAUUAGCUUGUGGAUCUCCUCGCCUAUGGCUCUGCGCUUCUCUUCGUCGAAUCGGCGCAGAGGCUGCUUGACGGGUCGGGCUCCGGCUCGGAUGUCCAGCGAUUGCUCGGCGACAUCCCUCAGUAUGCCGGGCAUGUCCGAGGGAUUCCACGCGAAGACGUCGGCGUUCGCGUGGAGAAAGUCGACGAGCACUGCUUCCAAUUUGGGAUCGAGCUCGGAGCCGAUCCGGACUUGCUUGGAGGCGUCGCUGCUGGGGUCGAGGGGGACGGACUUAACCGUCUCCGCUGGCUCGAAGUUGCCGGCAUGACGCUUCAUGUCUGGCACCUCCUUAGAGAGGCUCUCCAGGUCGGCGAUGAGGGCCUCGGCGUACUCCACGCACUCCACGUCGCAUUCGAACGCGUGUUUGUACGUGGGGCCGACGGUGAUGACCCCGUUGGGGCCCGGCAUCUUGAGCUUGAGGUAGGUGUAGUUGGGGACGGCCAUGAACUUCGCGUAGCAUGGCCUUCCCAGUACCGCGUGGUAGGUUCCUUGGAACCCGACCAACUCGAACGUCAGGGUCUCCCUUCGGAAGUUGGAGGGUGUUCCGAAGCAGACGGGAAGGUCGAGUUGUCCGAGGGGCUGGACGCGCUUCCCGGGGAUGAUCCCAUGGAAAGGCGCAGCGCCUGCCCGGACCGAGGAUAGAUCGACACGCAGGAGCCCGAGGGUCUCGGCGUAGAUGAUGUUGAGGCUGCUGCCUCCGUCCAUGAGGACCUUGGUGAGCCUGACGUCGCCGAUGAUGGGGUCGACAACGAGCGGGUAUUUCCCGGGCUCGGCACGUGGUCGGGGUGGUCGGCUUGGUCGAAGGUGAUGGACUUGUCGGACCAGUCUAGGUAGACUGGCGCCGCCACCUUCACCGAAUAGACCUCCCGACGCUCUUGCUUACGGUGCCGAGCCGAGGCGUUCGCCGCUUGCCCACCGUAGAUCAUGAAGCAGUCGCGGACCUCGGGGAACUCUCCUGCCUGGUGAUCUUCCUUCUUGUCGUCGUCGCGAGCCCUGCCACCCUCCGCGGGUGGCCCGGCCCUGUGGAAGUGACGCCGAAGCAUGGCGCACUCCUCAAGGGUGUGCUUGACGGGCCCCUGAUGAUAGGGGCACGACUCCUUAAGCAUCUUGUCGAAGAGGUUGGCACCUCCGGGGGGUUUCCGAGGGUUCUUGUACUCGGCGGCGGCGACAAGGUCCGCGUCGGCGGCGUCGCGUUUCGCUUGCGACUUCUUCUUGGCGCCGCGCUGAGUUGAUGCCUCGGGGGCAUCUUCCGGUGGGCGGCCCUGGGGCUGCUUGUCCUUCCGGAAGAUAGCCUCGACCGCCUCCUGGCCAGAGGCGAACUUGGUGGCGAUGUCCAUCAGCUCGCUUGCCCUGGUGGGGGUCUUGCGACCUAGCUUGCUCACCAGGUCGCGGCAGGUGGUGCCGGCGAGGAACGCGCCGAUGACAUCCGAGUCGGUGAUGUUGGGCAGCUCGGUGCGCUGCUUCGAGAAACGCCGGAUGUAGUCCCGGAGAGACUCUCCCGGCUGCUGUCGGCAGCUUCGGAGGUCCCGGGAAUUCCCAGGGCGCACGUACGUGCCCUGGAAAUUGACGGCGAAGGCUUGGACCAGGUCGUCCUAGUUGGAGAUCUGCCCCGGAGGCAGGUGCUCCAACCAGGCGCGAGCGGUGUCGGAGAGGAACAGGGGGAGGUUGCGGAUGAUGAGGUUGUCAUCGUCCGUUCCACCCAGUUGGCAGGCCAGCCGGUAGUCCGCGAGCCACAGCUCCGGUCUCGUCUCCCCCAAGUACUUUGUGAUGGUAGUCGGGGGUCGGAACCGGGUCGGGAACAGCGCCCGUCGUAUGGCCCAGCUGAAAGCCUGCGGACCGGGUGGUUCGGGCGAGGGACUCCGAUCCUCCCCGCUGUCGUAGCGUCCCCCACGCCUGGGGUGGUAGCCUCGGUGCACCCUCUCGUCGAGGUGGGCCCGACGGUCGCGGUGAUGGUGCUCGUUGCCGAGGCGUCCCGGGGCCGCAGGCGCUGUGUUGCGCGUGCGCCCGUGUGGACCGAGGCUUCCCGCAUGAAUCGGGGAGUCGCGGCAUGAUGUUCUGAGGGGUACCCCUGCCUUCGGGAGGCGGAGCUCUCGGCCCGUCAGACCGCGGCGCCUUCCAGGAGAUUCUUGAGCUCUCCCUGGAUUCGCCGCCCCUCGGUGGUUGAUGGCUCUAGCAUCGCACGGAGGAGCAUUGCUGCUGCAGCCAGGUUCUGGCCGACCCCACUGGAAGCGGGUGGCGGCCUCAUCCUGACAUCAUCAGCGAUGCGGUGCUGGAAGCCCUGGGGUAGAUGACGCAUUUCUCCGGUCGGAGGUUGGCCCGCCCAUUCCUGCCCGACGUCCCGGCGGAUCGGCUCAAGCGCUCCUGCUCCCUCGUCGAGCUUGGCCUGCACCCCGUGGAUUUGCUCGAGCUGUGGGCCAGGGCCCCCCGCCUGAACGGGGACCACAGCUAGCUCCCGUGGGAUGUCAACGCGAGGCACCGGCCUAGUGAGAUCACCGUCCUCCGGCAUGCCGAGAUGGUUGCCUUCGGAGGGACCCCCUAGAUCGACGUGGAAACAUUCGCGGCUUGGGCCGCAGUCCUCGUCGCCGAGGCUGUGGCUACCGUCGGAACAGUCGGAAAGGCAGUAGUCGCAUGCGGUCAUGAAGUCCCGCAUGGCACUGGGGUUGCCAAGUCUAGAGAAAUCCCAACAGAAGUCGGGCACGUCGUCUUCCUCGGACCCAAAGGACCCGUAGGUCGAGACGUCCGUCAGCCGGUCCCAAGGUGACCGCAUAUGAAACCCUAGAGGAUUUGGACUCGCCUCUACGAGAGCAUCCGCCAAAGCGAAGCCGCUUGGCGGGUCGAGGCUGAAUCCAAGGGGCAUGAGAUGGGAAUCGGUCGGUACCUCUUGGUCGACGGGCGGUGAUGAAGUCACGUCGGGGACUGACUGCACCGUCGUCUCAGGUACGAGGGUGACAUCCAGCAAGCCUUUCGCGAGCGUGCUGGCGUCGUCCGUUUGCUCGGAAUCGGCGUGUUGCGGGGAGACGGCGCUCGUCUUCGUCUCAAACGCGAGGUCGAUGCCCGACGCGCCCCCCGUUGGGGCGCUGGCGCCGUCGACUCGCUCGACAGCCGACGAGGCGCUGCCUCCUGCUUGGCCUUGGUUGCCCCGCCUCCCCCUCCGUCGGCGGGGGAGGGGACGGGGUGAGCUCGAAUGUUGUUCUUCCGCCACGCGGGGAAGACGUCGUCGAUUCCGCCACCAGCAGGCAGGCUGUCGGCCGCCAUUGUCGCUGUCGCACGGCGGUGGAAGGAGUAUCAUGUCGUAGCUACCGUCGAGGGACAUGAACUCAAGGCUCCCGAAAUGGAGCACCGUCCCGGGCCGGAGAGGUUGCUGGAGACUGCCCAUCUGGAGCUUGACGGGAAGCUGUUCGUCAACACGCAGCAGGCCCCUACCUGGCGCGCCAACUGUCGGCGUUUCGAGACCGGGGGGUCCCUGGGCCGACGAGUGAAUGUCGCCGCGUGCCCCAGCCCAGAUGGGUCGACGCGAGGCCGAGCACGAAGGGGGGAAGUGAGGUGGCCGGAGACAGGCGUGAGAGAGGUGGAAAUCCCGCGGCCUUCGUGUUCGUCCCGCGCCCAAGUCGGGUGCGCUUGCAGUAGGGGAUUACAAGCGUCCACGCAGGAGAGGGAGCGAGCGGCUUCAAGCGAGCGCCUGUCUCGUCCUCGUCCCUGCGCGACCAACCCUCUCUAAGAGGGCCCUGGUCCUUCCUUUUAUAGGCAUAAGGAGAGGAUCCAGGUGUACAAUGGGGGGUGUAGCAGAGUGCUACGUGUCCAGCGGAGGAGAGCUAGCGCCCUAAGUACACGCCAUCGUGGCGGCCGGAGAGGUUUUGGCACCCGGUUCGUGUGAUGUCGUGGCCGUCGGAGGAGCGCUGGAGCCUGGCGGAGGGACAGCUAUCGGGGCUGUCGAGUCCUUGCUGACGUCCUUUUGCUUCCGUAAGGGGGAGGAGAGCUACCGUCGUCAGGGAGCGUGCGGGGCGCCAUCAUUGCCUAUCUGGCAGAGCGAGCCAGAUGGGACGCCGGUCUUGUUCCCCGUAGCCUGAGUCAGCUUGGGGCAGGGUAAUGAUGGCGCCUCCCGUUGACGUGGCCGGCCCGCGCCCUAGGUUGGGCGAUGUGGAGGCUCCCCCGAGGUCGAGGUCGGUCUGUCUUCCGUGGCCGGAGUCGAGUCCGAGCCCCCGGGUCGGGCGAGGCGAAGACCGUCGGCUAAGGCCAGGGCUGAGCCCGAGCCCUGGGGUCGGGCGAAGCGGAGUUCGUCGUCUUCUGGGGCUGAGCCCAAGUCCGAGCCCUGGGUCGAGCGGAGCAGAGUUCGCCGUCUUCCGGGGCUUAGCCCGAGUCCGAGCCCUGGGUCGGGCGGAGAGGAGUUCGCCGUCUUCCGGGGCUUAGCCUGAGUCCGAGCCCUGGGUCGGGCGGAGCGGAGUUCGCCGUCUUCUGGGGUUGAGCCCAAGUCUGAGCCCUAGGUCGGGCGGAGCGGAGUUCGCCGUCUUCUGGGGCUUAGCCCGAGUCCGAGCCCUGGGUCGGGCGGAGCGGAGUUCGCCGUCUUUCGGGGCUUAGCCCGAGUCCGAGCCCUGGGUCGGGCGAAGCGGAGCUUCCUAUGGUGCCUGCGGUCGGGCCUGACUGCCUGUCAGCCUCACUCUGUCAAGUGGCACCGCAGUCGGAGCGGCGCAGGCGGCGCUGUCCUUCUGUCAGGUCGGUCAGUGGAGCGGCAAAGUGACUGCGGUCACUUCGGCUCUGUCGAUUGAAGGGCGCGCGUCAGGAUAAAGGUGUCAGGCCACCUUUGCAUUAAAUGCUCCUGCGAUUUGGUCGGUCGGCGCGGCGAUUCGGUCAGGGUUGCUUCUUGGCGAAGACAGGGCCUCGGGCGAGCCAGAAAUGUAUUCGUUGCUGGAGGGGGGCCUCGGGCGAGACGGAGAUCCUCCAGGGUCGGCUGCCCUUGCCCGAGGCUAGGCUCGGGCGAGGCGUGAUCGAGUCCCUUGAAUGGACUGAUCCCUGACUUAAUUGCACCCAUCAGGCCUUUGCAGCUUUGUGCUGAUGGGGGUUACCAGCUGAGAAUUAGGAGCCUUGAGGGUACCCCUAAUUAUGGUCCUCGACAGUAUUCUACGCGUUGUAACGAGAUCGUAGGAACAAAAAUCACUAAAUUCGGAGUUACAGUUCUCUAGUUAUGAAUUUCCGAAGUUAUUUAGUACCUAGAAGAGAGUAAUUCAAGUGAAUAAUUUUAAUUCAAGUUUUAUGGCUAAACAGAGGUACUAGGUGAUAGAAAAUAUUAAAACAAAAUUAAUGCCACUAGAAUGAAUCAAUUUGGAGUUAAAAUGAAUUAAAUAUGAAUUAUACAAGUUUCUGGAAUUAUUUUUGUAUUAAAAAUCAAUUUCUAAAUUUAAUUAUCUGAUUUUUCUGCUCUCUAGACUACGCGCCAAAUACCAAAGAGUUCAGGGGCUAAUCUAUACAAAUUCCCCAGACUCAGACUUCUUCCACGGUGGACCGCGGGUUUGAUUCUCUGAAGUUCACGGACUUAUUUGUAAAGCGCCUGCGCCGAAGGGGUAUCCCAGCAUGUGGGUCGCUGGAUCGACAGUGCACGACGCGGAUUAAAAGGCCGAGCCAAACGAGCCAGUAUCCUAUUGAUCUAUUCCUAGCUGCCCAUCCCGUGAUCUACGACCACGAUUUUAAAUUACAAGAUCUAGCAGUACACGUUUGAUCUCGGAUCGACGACCCGCGUCCAUCCAGGCCGAAACAGUACACCAUUGAUUUAAUCUGGAUCGUUGAUUUCUUGAUCCACAACCAUGACUCCUUCUACCUCCCGACUCGUCUGGGCAACGACACCGCGCCCCAGGGCAAUGCCCCCACCGGAACCAGACGAAGGGCCCCCAGACGCUCGUAGCACGGCGAUAGGGUAUGGCAGCCCCCCCAAGCAAACUCCCACAGCAAGCCCCCAAAACCAAAACCCACCGCUGCUAAAUUAUGCAUGGGACAUGGUGAUUAUGAGGGGGGUUCCAUACCAGGGAUGAUCAGAAUGAUGGGGCUGACCACGGUCUAGCAGAAAUCAUCGACGUUCAAACGACACCCAGAGCUGCGAUCCUUCUCUAGCCUCCGAAUUUGACGAUCCCAGCUAGCUUCCAGCACGGUUUGGUGAUGACGAAUCCCUCCCCUCGCUCAGUUCUUCACGGUAGUACUCAAAGUUUGUGAUCGACGGGACCAGAGAAAAG